rnacentral:rRNA from 1 species
UACGUAGGUGGCGAGCGUUGUCCGGAUUUACUGGGCGUAAAGAGCGCGCAGGCGGUCGUUCAAGUCGCGUGUGAAAGCCCCCGGCUCAACUGGGGAGGGUCACGCGAUACUGAUCGACUCGAAGGCAGGAGAGGGUAGUGGAAUUCCCGGUGUAGUGGUGAAAUGCGUAGAUAUCGGGAGGAACACCAGUGGCGAAGGCGACUACCUGGCUGUUCUUGACGCUGAGGCGCGAAAGCGUGGGGAGCGAACAGG